GACGAACGCUGGCGGCGUGCUUAACACAUGCAAGUCGAACGGAAAGGCCCCUUUGGGGGUACUCGAGUGGCGAACGGGUGAGUAACACGUGAGUAACCUGCCCUUGACUUCGGGAUAACUUCAGGAAACUGGGGCUAAUACCGGAUAGGAAUCCUUGCUGCAUGGUGGGGGUUGGAAAGCUUCGGCGGUUUUGGAUGGACUCGCGGCUUAUCAGCUUGUUGGUGGGGUAGUGGCUUACCAAGGCUUUGACGGGUAGCCGGCCUGAGAGGGCGACCGGCCACAUUGGGACUGAGAUACGGCCCAGACUCCUACGGGAGGCAGCAGUGGGGAAUAUUGCACAAGGGGCGGAAGCCUGAUGCAGCAACGCCGCGUGCGGGAUGACAGCCUUCGGGUUGUAAACCGCUUUCAGCAGGGGCGAAGCUUGUGGUGACGGUACCUGCAGAAGAAGCACCGGCUAACUACGUG
rnacentral:rRNA from 1 species